rnacentral:lncRNA from 1 species
UAGAGCUCUAGCAUCGACCCCUGAACUGUCGCUCGAGACAGCAUCAGACAAUGAAUAAGUAGGGGGAAAGGGGGCAACCUUGGUGAAGUCCAGCAGCAGAAUGGAAGAACUCCGUCGGAGAGCUAUUGACUAGAAUAGCAAAGCUCAAAAACUCCACGCAAUCCAUGAUCCAGCCAAACCCACUUCUCCCCGAAUCUUAGCUUUGUAAGCAUUUGCCGAAGAAAGUGCCAGC